rnacentral:rRNA from 1 species
CGAACGGGUGAGUAAUGCGUGACCAACCUGCCCCAUGCUCCAGAAUAGCUCUUGGAAACGGGUGGUAAUGCUAGAUGCUCCAACUUGACGCAUGUCUUGUUGGGAAAGUGUUUAGUGGCAUGGGAUGGGGUCGCGUCCUAUCAGCUUGUAGGCGGGGUAAUGGCCCACCUAGGCUUCGACGGGUAGCCGGCCUGAGAGGGCGGACGGCCACAUUGGGACUGAGAUACGGCCCAGACUCCUACGGGAGGCAGCAGCG